GCCCUGAAACUCUAAUCUCAUUGCCUGGCCAGAAAAGGAAGUAAUCCCUAGUGUCAGCAGAUUCAGCGGUACUGGUAUAUAAUAGAAUGAACUUCAUGAGCUUGAAAAAGAAAUAGCAGCUAUCUCUGCAGAAACUAAAGAAACAGAAAGACAAAUUUAUCAACAAGAUGCUGCCAUAGAGAAUACCAAACUUCAUUGUGAUAGCCUGGAAACUCAAAUCAAAUCCUUACAUUCAGAAAAUGUAAAGCUUAAAUUUGACAUAGAAACAGCCCAAGAAGAUUUUGAGGAACACAUGAAAAAAUAUAACGCAUAUUAUGCAAAAAUAAAAGCACAUAAAAAUAGUUUGGGGGAAGUAGAGAGCAAAUGGUCAUUUAUGACUGAACUCCAUGAAAAGCGAGAUUUUGUUAAAAAAUUAAAGACAAUGAAAGAAGAACUUAUGCAAGAUCUUCAAAAUCCAGGAGGGAACCGAAUAACACAAGUACAGGAAGACAUUACAAACUUAAAGGAUAAAAUUAUAACUGUAAAAGAAUCUAUCAUUGAAAAAACUUGUUUUCUUGAGGAAGAAAAAAAGACACAUGAAAAAUUAAGAAAAGAAAUAGAGGCAAAGCGAGAUGACCCAAUAGAAGCCUGCACCACUCAUUCCCCAAGCAGGAGCAUCAAAUUCUAACUACACUCAAGAGCACCAUCAUCACAAGAACCCAAAU
rnacentral:sRNA from 1 species